GUUGAGGGGAAUGUUGUCUGGCUCGAGGCUUUUCAUAGUUGAUGAUCUCUCAUAUACCAUGGAAAGCUUCGGACCAGGCUUCAUCCCCCUCAAA
rnacentral:pre_miRNA from 1 species